rnacentral:misc_RNA from 1 species
GCGAACUGAACUUAAGGAAAGUCUUGAGAAGAUGGGUUCAUCUCUUUCUUGGGAGCAUAUAACUAAUCAGAUAGGAAUGUUCUGCUAUACUGGAUUGACCCCGGAACAGGUUGAUCGCUUGACAGAAGAGUUCCACAUUUAUUUGACCCGCAAUGGUCGGAUCAGCAUGGCUGGUGUCAACACAGGCAAUGUUGUGUACUUGGCUAAUGCUAUCCAUGAGGUCACAAAAUCGACAUGAGUUUAUAUCUAAACUAGUUUGGUAGUGAGAAACCUGAGAUUUAUCUGGUUCUGAGGCUUUUUUCUUAUACUUUAUCAAUUGUUUUCUAUGAAUAAAUGGAUCGGUGGGUCGUGGCUCGAGCAUAGCUUCAUUUUUUUUGCAAGUCUG